rnacentral:rRNA from 1 species
AUUGAACGCUGGCGGCAGGCCUAACACAUGCAAGUCGAGCGGAUGAGAAGAGCUUGCUCUUCGAGUUAGCGGCGGACGGGUGAGUAAUGCCUAGGAAUCUGCCUGGUAGUGGGGGACAACGUUUCGAAAGGAACGCUAAUACCGCAUACGUCCUACGGGAGAAAGCAGGGGACCUUCGGGCCUUGCGCUAUCAGAUGAGCCUAGGUCGGAUUAGCUAGUUGGUGAGGUAACGGCUCACCAAGGCGACGAUCCGUAACUGGUCUGAGAGGAUGAUCAGUCACACUGGAACUGAGACACGGUCCAGACUCCUACGGGAGGCAGCAGUGGGGAAUAUUGAACAAUGGGCGAAAGCCUGAUCCAGCCAUGCCGCGUGUGUGAAGAAGGUCUUCGGAUUGUAAAGCACUUUAAGUUGGGAGGAAGGGCAGUAAGCGAAUACCUUGCUGUUUUGACGUUACCGACAGAAUAAGCACCGGCUAACUCUGUGCCAGCCGCCGCGGUAACAC